rnacentral:rRNA from 1 species
GUUUGAUCAUGGCUCAGAUUGAACGCUGGCGGCAGGCUUAACACAUGCAAGUCGAGCGGGGGAAGGUAGCUUGCUACUGGACCUAGCGGCGGACGGGUGAGUAAUGCUUAGGAAUCUGCCUAUUAGUGGGGGACAACAUCUCGAAAGGGAUGCUAAUACCGCAUACGUCCUACGGGAGAAAGCAGGGGAUCUUCGGACCUUGCGCUAAUAGAUGAGCCUAAGUCGGAUUAGCUAGUUGGUGGGGUAAAGGCCUACCAAGGCGACGAUCUGUAGCGGGUCUGAGAGGAUGAUCCGCCACACUGGGACUGAGACACGGCCCAGACUCCUACGGGAGGCAGCAGUGGGGAAUAUUGGACAAUGGGGGGAACCCUGAUCCAGCCAUGCCGCGUGUGUGAAGAAGGCCUUAUGGUUGUAAAGC